AGAGUUUGAUUAUGGCUCAGGAUGAACGCUGGCGGCGUGCUUAACACAUGCAAGUCGAACGGAGUUUUUAACGGAAGUUUCGGAUGGAAGUUUAGAAACUUAGUGGCGGACGGGUGAGUAACGCGUGGGUAACCUGCCUCAUACAGGGGGAUAACAGUUAGAAAUGACUGCUAACACCGCAUAAUAUAGCGAAACCGCAUGAUUUUUGCUAUCAAAUAUUUAUAGGUAUGAGAUGGGCCCGCGUCUGAUUAGCUAGUUGGUGGGGUAAAAGCCUACCAAGGCGACGAUCAGUAGCCGGCUUGAGAGAGUGACCGGCCACAUUGGGACUGAGACACGGCCCAAACUCCUACGGGAGGCAGCAGUGGGGAAUAUUGGACAAUGGGGGAAACCCUGAUCCAGCCGACGCCGCGUGAGUGAAGAAGUAUUUCGGUACGUAAAGCUCUAUCAGCAGGGAAGAUAAUGACAGUACCUGACUAAGAAGCCCCGGCUAACUACGUGCCAGCAGCCGC
rnacentral:rRNA from 1 species